UCCUGGUGGCUCAGAUGGUAAAGAAUCUGCCUGCAAUGCAGGGGACCCAGGUUCAAUCCCUGGGCCAGGAA
rnacentral:tRNA from 1 species